rnacentral:rRNA from 1 species
AUUGAACGCUGGCGGCAGGCCUAACACAUGCAAGUCGAGCGGAUGAAGGGAGCUUGCUCCUGGAUUCAGCGGCGGACGGGUGAGUAAUGCCUAGGAAUCUGCCUGGUAGUGGGGGAUAACGUCCGGAAACGGGCGCUAAUACCGCAUACGUCCUGAGGGAGAAAGUGGGGGAUCUUCGGACCUCACGCUAUCAGAUGAGCCUAGGUCGGAUUAGCUAGUUGGUGGGGUAAAGGCCUACCAAGGCGACGAUCCGUAACUGGUCUGAGAGGAUGAUCAGUCACACUGGGACUGAGACACGGUACAGGCUCCUACGGGAGGCAGGAAUUGGGAAUAUUGGACAAUGGGGGGAAGCCUGAUCCAGGCAUGGCGGGUGUGUGAAGAAGGUCUUCGGAUUGUAAAGCACUUUAAGUUGGGAGGAAGGGUAGUAAGUUAAUACCUUGCUGUUUUGACGUUACCAACAGAAUAAGCACCGGCUAACUUCGUG